GAGACCAUAGUUAAGAAUACACAUGGUUUCUUGACUAAUCGUGCCCGUUCUUUUGAAAAUACAUUAGAGACUGGUGGUAUAUCCCCUCAUAUUUCUGAGGUUACUCUUUCGCAAUUGGCAACUUCUUCACAAUCUCAUCUGAUGUCAGAUUCAGGAUUUCCAUUCAACUCUAGUUUAUCUGUCAUUCCUGAGAUCCAGUAUUCCCCUAGUCUGGUUCCUGGGCAAGCCAAGGUCCCUCAGUUUCCUGAAUUAAAUGCGCUCUACUCUAAGACGGACAAUGUGAACCCUGAAUUUUCAGGACAUGGCUUCAAUACACCGGA
rnacentral:misc_RNA from 1 species